AACGCUAGCUACAGGCUUAACACAUGCAAGUCGAGGGGAAACGACAUCGAAAGCUUGCUUUUGGUGGGCGUCGACCGGCGCACGGGUGAGUAACGCGUAUCCAACCUGCCCACCACUUGGGGAUAACCUUGCGAAAGUAAGACUAAUACCCAAUGACGUCUCUAGAAGACAUCUGAAAGAGAUUAAAGAUUUAUCGGUGAUGGAUGGGGAUGCGUCUGAUUAGCUUGUUGGCGGGGUAACGGCCCACCAAGGCGACGAUCAGUAGGGGUUCUGAGAGGAAGGUCCCCCACAUUGGAACUGAGACACGGUCCAAACUCCUACGGGAGGCAGCAGUGAGGAAUAUUGGUCAAUGGGCGAGAGCCUGAACCAGCCAAGUAGCGUGCAGGAUGACGGCCCUAUGGGUUGUAAACUGCUUUUAUAAGGGAAUAAAGUUAGUCUCGUGAGACUUUUUGCAUGUACCUUAUGAAUAAGGACCGGCUAAUUCCGUGCCAGCAGCCGCGGUAAUACGGAAGGUCCGGGCGUUAUCCGGAUUUAUUGGGUUUAAAGGGAGCGUAGGCCGGAGAUUAAGCGUGUUGUGAAAUGUAGUGGCUCAACCUCUGCACUGCAGCGCGAACUGGUCUUCUUGAGUACGCACAACGUGGGCGGAAUUCGUGGUGUAGCGGUGAAAUGCUUAGAUAUCACGAAGAACUCC
rnacentral:rRNA from 2 species